AUUUUGAAGAUUUGCCCUCGUUUAUCUUUAAUGUGUUUUGUGAGAUUCUGAAGCCGAGGUUAGGUUGGACGGAGGAAGCAAUGAUUGCAGGCUCCAGAGACGUUGGUGUGUCUCCUUCCAUUGUUGGGUCUUUCUCCAGGAAAGAAGCUGCUCUUGUUGAGGGAGAAGACGGAGAUUCAUGGGUAAUAAUCAUAUCAUGCUCUACUUAGCAUAUGUUAUCUUGCUUCUAGGGAUUAUCAGUUCAUCCUUCAACAUGCAGCGUUUACUCUUUGAAGCUACAUGUUAAAAAAGGAUCAAACUUGGUCUUGAUUUUUUGUCUAAACCAGGGUGUUGCAGGCUUGCAGCUCACCUUUCCCAGCAGAAACUGACUUCACGAAUACUUCAGGUUUUCAUCUUAAACCAAACCUAUUUUAAGCAUUUUUUUCUUAGAUUCUCUAAUCUUUCUUGUACCUUUUUUUUCUGGAUGAGAUUGUAAAGGAAGUGAAUGAGAAUCCAAACGAUGGAUGGAAAGCUGCUCUCAAUGAUCGCUUUGCUAAUGCCACCAUGAGUUUUAUGAUAUCAUCUUAUCUCUUGAGAGUAUCAAAGUCUUUUGUUAUUUCUGUAGAAAUACAAAAUUUAUCAUUGUUCCUGAAUUUUGAACAUGGUGUUGUAGCCGGUCUACCUUUAGACAAGAACGUAGUUAGAGGUAUUAAUAUUUCAGAUGAUUUUCUAGUUUCCUCAUUUUAAAAACUAAAAUCAAGAUGUGUUGUCUCUCAACUCUCUGCAAAAUAAAGAAAAACGGAACCAUGUUUAACAUUGUGAAACUAGAUGUAUCCGCAAGGAAGGAUGUCUCAUCAUUUCAGGGAGAUGUGUGUUGGAGACCAUUUUGCUGUUAAGGGAUCAAAGGUUCAAGUAUCAGCCAGGUCAGUUUAGGGCAUUUGGAAUGCUUGCUGGAGGCUCAGGCAUCACUCCCAUGUUCCAAGUAUUUCUCGUAUGUUUUAUCUAAUUAUAUGCAAGAGCUGCUUUUGAGUUAGGGGUUGUUUGUCUGGUUUUUGCGUCAAAUUCUAUAGGAAGUUUUACUUUGUUUCUUUCAUGUUUGUUUAAAAUUUCUAAUUAUAAAUUUGUAUUUCUAUUUUUCA